rnacentral:rRNA from 1 species
UAGCACAGAGGAGCUUGCUCCUUGGGUGACGAGUGGCGGACGGGUGAGUAAUGUCUGGGGAUCUGCCCGAUAGAGGGGGAUAACCACUGGAAACGGUGGCUAAUACCGCAUAACGUCGCAAGACCAAAGAGGGGGACCUUCGGGCCUCUCACUAUCGGAUGAACCCAGAUGGGAUUAGCUAGUAGGCGGGGUAAUGGCCCACCUAGGCGACGAUCCCUAGCUGGUCUGAGAGGAUGACCAGCCACACUGGAACUGAGACACGGUCCAGACUCC